GUGAAUCAUCGAAUCUUUGAACGCAAAUUGCACUCUCUGGUAUUCCGGAGAGUAUGCCUGUUUGAGAAUCAGUUUAAAUAAAAAUCGGUGUGGUUGCUGCCUUUCGUUGUAACGCACCGGGUUUAUGUCGUCGUGCCUUCGGUUAAGUGACCUAAAAUGUUGCAUGAUUUUUUUCUAACGUAUUUAAACGUUUUUGCGUACGUUUCCGAUAUCGAAUGCUAGUUGUGGUAAUCC
rnacentral:misc_RNA from 1 species